rnacentral:rRNA from 1 species
UAGGUAGGUGGUCUCAUUUGUCUGAGGUGAAAUCCUUGGGCUUAACUCAAGAAGUGCCUCAGAAACGGUGAGACUAGAGUUCUGGAGGGGGUCGUGGAAUUCCCGGUGUAGCGGUGAAAUGCGUAGAGAUCGGGAGGAACACCAGAGGCGAAGGCGGCGACCUGGACAGACACUGACACUCAACUACGAAAGCGUGGGGAGCAAACAGGAUUAGAUACCCUGGUAGUCCACGCUGUAAACGAUGGGUACUAGGUUUGGUGGGAUUUGACCCCUGCCGAACCGGCGCUAACGCACUAAGUACCCCGCCUGGGAAGUACGGUCGCAAGACUAAA